UACGGGGGGGGCAAGCGUUGUUCGGAAUUACUGGGCGUAAAGGGCGCGUAGGCGGCUUUCUAAGUUGGAUGUGAAAACUAUGUGCUCAACCCAUAGCCUGCAUCCAAAACUGGAGAGCUUGAGUUCUGGAGGGGAAAGCGGAAUUCCUGGUGUAGCGGUGAAAUGCGUAGAUAUCAGGAGGAACACCGGUGGCGAAGGCGGCUUUCUGGACAGAUACCGACGCUGAGGCACGAAAGCUAGGGGAGCAAACGGG
rnacentral:rRNA from 1 species